CACAUACAUCAUAAAGACUGCUCUAAACUAGAAAGGAGGCGCCACAUCGUGGGUGUGCUGUUGGUUCUAGUCACCCUCAGCAGCCUCAGCUGGGACCCCAGCUCUAUAUGAGCUCAAUUUCUUCCUUACAUAUACUUUUCAGACUGAUCUGAUUGCUAAGGGCUGAUCAGUAGUGUUUGGGUUGCCCUUUUAGGGUGAUCUUAUCAGUGUUGCCCCUGUCCUGGGCACCAAACCAUAGGGCUGAGCUCUGCAACAGUGCUAACAGUUCCUAGCACUGGGGCUGGUUAGGGUCUGCUGACAGCAUCUAGAGGAUGCAGCAGGAGUUAAGGCCUCCUUUUGUACCUGGGCAGCAGUCAGUGAGCCAGGAGAGCAGAAAGCAGCACUGGGGGCAGGGUUCUCCCGUCAGGCUGUUACCAUGACAGAUCGCUGCUCAGCGGCGUGAGUGUGACGUGGGAUGUGGAAGAAAGGAGGCACUGAGAGGCGCUGAGUGUUAUCUUGUCAAGGUGCAGUUGCCAGCAGCAAUGCCAACUCUUCCCCCAUGGAUACCAGUGCAUCAGCCCAGCAUGGAGUGUUUCAGCUCAGCAGCAUUGUGCGUUUCCCCACACAGUGGCAGGUGAUACCAAAGGUGGUGACCCCAGGCUGGCAGCAGGCUCCAUGGGUACAGGGCAAGGAUCACAUCCCACCAGGUCCCAACACCUGGGAGCACCCGCUGCUGAUCCCAGCCAACAUGCAAAGAGAGCAGUCAGCACAAUGUUUCUAUUAGAACCCGUUACUUUUAAACAACUUAAUUUCCCCAAUGAACCGAGCCACUGUAAAGAGAAAUCCCACGUGGCGGGCUGAGGAUAAUUGUGAUGUUCUCAUUAGAACUGCUCAGACUGCAUUGAUUUAUUUAUUUAUCUUCUGAACUUUUGGAAGUUAUCUCAGACAACGUGGA
rnacentral:lncRNA from 1 species